AUUGAACGCUGGCGGCAUGCCUUACACAUGCAAGUCGAACGGCAGCGGGGGAGAAGCUUGCUUUUCCUGCCGGCGAGUGGCGAACGGGUGAGUAAUACAUCGGAACGUGCCCUGUAGUGGGGGAUAACUAGUCGAAAGAUUAGCUAAUACCGCAUACGACCUGAGGGUGAAAGUGGGGGACCGCAAGGCCCCAUGCUAUAGGAGCGGCCGAGGUCUGAUUAGCUAGUUGGUGGGGUAAAGGCCUACCAAGGCGACGAUGAGUAGGUGGUCUGGGAGGACGAUCAGCCACACUGGGACUGAGACACGGCCCAGACUCCUACGGGAGGCAGCAGUGGGGAAUUUUGGACAAUGGGCGAAAGCCUGAUCCAGCAAUGCCGCGUGUGUGAAGAAGGCCUUCGGGUUGUAAAGCACUUUUGUCCGGAAAGAAAUGGCUCUGGUUAAUACCUGGGGUCGAUGACGGUACCGGAAGAAUAAGGACCGGCUAACUACGUGCCAGCCGCCGCCGUAA
rnacentral:rRNA from 1 species